GACGAACGCUGGCGGCGUGCCUAACACAUGCAAGUUGAGCGACGAACCAGGGCUUGCCCUGGGGCAAAGCAGCGAACGGGUGAGUAACACGUGGGUAACCCACCCCGAUAACCGGGACAACCCGAGGAAACUCGGGCUAAUACCGGAUGUGCUCACUGGACUUCGGUUCAGUGCGUAAAGGAAGCUUCGGCCUCCGUAUCGGGAGGGGCCCGCGGCCCAUUAGUUUGUUGGUGAGGUAACGGCGCACCAAGACCGCGAUGGGUAGCUGGUCUGAGAGGACGAUCAGCCACACUGGGACUGAGACACGGCCCAGACUCCUACGGGAGGCAGCAGUGGGGAAUCUUGCGCAAUGCGCGAAAGCGUGACGCAGCAACGCCGCGUGGGGGAAGAAGGCCUUCGGGUUGUAAACCCCUUUCAGGAGGGACGAAGGUUCGGCGGUGAAUAGCCGUCCGGACUGACGGUACCUCCACAAGAAGCCCCGGCUAACUACGUG
rnacentral:rRNA from 1 species